AGUGGCGCACGGGUGAGUAACACGUAGGAACGUGUCUAAAGGAGGGGAACGACCACGGGAAACCGUGGCUAAUACCGCAUAAUGUCGCAAGACCAAAGGGGGCCUAUGCUUGCAUGCUCCCGCCUUCAGAGCGGCCUGCGUCCUAUUAGCUAGUUGGUAGAGUAAAAGCCUACCAAGGCGACGAUGGGUAACUGGUCUGAGAGGAUGAUCAGUCACACUGGAACUGAGACACGGUCCAGACUCCUACGGGAGGCGGCAGUGGGGAAUCUUGCACAAUGGGCGCAAGCCUGAUGCAGCAACGCCGCGUGGGUGAAGAAGGUUCUCGGAUUGUAAAGCCCUUUCGGCUGGGAAGAAGGCGAAGAUGGCGAAUAGCUUUUUUCGUUGACGGUACCAGAAGGAGAAGCACCGGCUAAUUUCGUGCCAGCAGCCGCGGUAAUACGAAAGGUGCAAGCGUUGUUCGGAAUGACUGGGCGUAAAGCGCACGUAGGCGGCUUGGUAAGUCGGCUGUGAAAGCCCCGGGCUUAACCUGGGAAUAGCAACCGAAACUGCCUGGCUUGAAUGCCUGAGAGGUUGGUAGAAUUCCUGGUGUAGGGGUGAAAUCCGUAGAUAUCAGGAGGAACAUCGGAGGCGAAGGCGGCCAACUGGNCNGUNACUGACGCUGAGNCGCGAAAGCGUGGGGAGCAAACAGGAUUAGAUACCCUGGUAGUCC
rnacentral:rRNA from 1 species